rnacentral:tRNA from 1 species
GCGGAAAUGGCGGAAUUGGUAUACGCGCUACUUUGAGGUGGUAGUGGGGUUUCCCGUGGGGGUUCAAGUCCCCCUUUCCGCA